rnacentral:lncRNA from 1 species
GGGAGCCGCCCUUUCCGGCAUGUCUCCUGAGGCUGUCUGCCCUUCCCCAGCCUCUGCAGCCUACAAUCCCAAUCCAGAGCCAGCCCGGUUUCUGCAAGCACACAGGAGCAGAAGAGAAACCAGUGAAGACUUCACCGCUGCAUAUCAGGCCAACGACGGCUGCUCGGUGACGGCGCUGCUCUGCCGCAAACACGCGACUGCAACACUGAGAAACUGCCACCAAGAAAAACCCCAAACCCACUGAUCCCACA